CUACGGGUUGCUGCAGUGGGGAAUAUUGGACAAUGGGGGAAACCCUGAUCCAGCAAUGCCGCGUGUGUGAAGAAGGCCUGCGGGUUGUAAAGCACUUUCGGUUGGGAGGACUGCUUCUAGCACUAAUAUUGUUGGAAGUUGACGUUACCUUCAGAAGAAGCACCGGCUAACUCCGUGCCAGCAGCCGCGGUAAUACGGAGGGUGCAAGUGUUAAUCGGAAUUACUGGGCGUAAAGCGCGCGGAGGCGGCUAGAUCAGUCGGGUGUGAAAGCCCCGGGCUUAACCUGGGAACUGCAUCCGAUACUGUCUAGCUUGAGUACAGGAGAGGAGAGUGGAAUUCCACAUGUAGCGGUGAUAUGCGUAGUUAUGUGGAGGAACACCAAUGGCGAAGGCAGCUCUCUGGCCUGAUACUGACGCUGAGGUGCGAAAGCGUGGGGAGCAAACAGGAUUAGAUACCCUCGUAGUC
rnacentral:rRNA from 1 species